CCUACGGGUGGCAGCAGUGAGGAAUAUUGGUCAAUGGGCGAGAGCCUGAAGCAGCCAUGUCGCGUGAGGGAAGACGGUCCUAUGGAUUGUAAACCUCUUUUGUCGGGGAGCAAACAGGCCUCUUGAGGACCCCAGUGAGAGUACUCGAAGGAAAAACAUCGGCUAACUCCGUGCCAGCCACCACGGUAAUACGGAGGAUGCGAGCGUAAUUUGGAUUUAUUGGGUUUAAGGGGUGCGUAGGCGGACGGGAAAGUCAGCGGUAAAAUCGAGAGGCUCAACCUCUUUCCGCCGUUGAAACUGUCGGUCGAGAGUGGUGUAGAGGUAGGCAGAAUGCGUGGUGUAGCGGUGAAAUGCAUAGAUAUCACGAAGAACUCCGGUGGCGAAGGCAGCAUACCGGCGCCCGACUGACGCUGAGGCACGAAAGCGUGGGGAGCGAACAGGAUUAGAUACCCUGGUAGUC
rnacentral:rRNA from 1 species